ACUACUGAGAACUUCCUAUCUGGACUUAAAUUAUUUUUAGCAAUUUUAUCUGAAGCCCCAGGUUAGAUAUUGUGGUUAUCUCCAAAUAUUCAUUCCAUUCCUCCCCCACAGGGAAGCAGAUAUACAGUUUGGGAAGAUUGACCUCAUGCCCAAGACUACUCCAGAGUCUCCACAUCCUUGAAGCCAAGGGGUGAAGAAUCAUAUUAUCAGCAGAGAAUUUCAUUAACCUCAUGGCAGAAAGACAAUCUCCCAUAUGAAAGGUUACAUCGGGAAAAGGCUCUUCACUUCCAUCAUGGGCUGAUAGUAACAUCUGCAGCUGAGUAUCCUCACCUGGCAGUGUGUCUAAGGCUGGUGAUUAACGGAAGGGGAGAGUGACAUUUACCAAAUCAGGUUGUAUCCUCCAUGCAGAGGAAUGAGGAGCCCAGUAAACGGAGUGAUUCACUGAACCUGCUUUGGCAAUCUGUGAAGACUUUAUUCCAGACGCACAGUAGGGAAAAACAUACUUAAAUCUUGCCCACAGAGCUCUCCGGGAAUGAAAUCUAUCAUAUCACUGUAGGAGGAGAGAGAGAAAUCAGCUCUGCAAUUGUGUGCUGCGUCCAGCGACCAGUCACUGCUGUCAAUAUUCAAACUUCCCCUGGAUGCAUAAUGAGACGCUACCAGCAAUGCCUGCGCAUGCAACACAGUACUGGCCAAUGAGCAGAGGACGCUCCCCGGGGCAGUGAGCAGCUUUGCUGUAGUAGGAAACAGCCUCAGUGCACAACAGAC
rnacentral:lncRNA from 1 species